GUGAAGUAUAUGCAAAAUAAAAAGAAAAAAGGUUGUAUAUUGAUAUAUGGUAUAAUACAUUAGAUAUAUAAAGUUACUUUUUUGAUUUUUUAUUUGCUUUUGACCCAUUUGAAGUACUCGAUCAUUCUGUGUAAAAAAAAGUACUCAGUCAUUUCUUAUUUCACCAUUUUCAACCCAUAUUUCACCAUUUUCAACCAUUUUUAACCAUUUGAGCUCAUUAAAGUUUGAAAAUGGCAAAGAAGAUAUUAGUGAUAAAGGAUCCGAUUUUUAAAAACGGUUAGGAGGAAUGUGAUGAACUCGUAGGCGAUGGUAAUAAAUCCGGUGGUGGUACUGCUCUGAUUUGAGCUCAUUUAUUCAGAUGUCGACCUCAAUCUUCUUCCCGAUUCUCAAAAACCUAAAAAAAUUUCUCUAAUUUCAUACAAGAAAGAGGUACGAGGCAUCAAACCUAGCUAUGAAGACCAUGUACAUUAGAAAAGGGCCACCUAUGAGCAUACGGUGAAGGGGCUGCUAAAAUUGGAAGGGGUAUGCCAAUGAGCACAAAGUGAAGGGGCUGCUGAAAUUGGAAAAGGCAAGGGUCUGGAAGAGAUGAAUUUUAAAAGUAUAAAUCAAUGUAAUCUAUAGAUAUUACAUAUUACUUGUAUAAAUGUUAAUCAAAUUAUAAAGAUGAACUGUGUUUUUGU